rnacentral:lncRNA from 1 species
ACGGCAAAUAGAUGGAGGAUCAGGCUGGGGAAGCUCUGAAGAACCUUGUCCCAGAAAGCAUAAAGCCGGUGCGGCCGAAGAAACAUCUGAUGCGGCCGUAGGGGUUGGGACUAGCUAGCUUCUGUUGUCGUAGCCCGGUGGAUGUUUAUUUAAGUUUUUAUUUAUCAAAAUUUAAGUUCUUAUUUAUCAAAAUGUCUGCUAUAUUUAAGUUUGUACUUGUAUUUUGAACUUCAAACUCCGUUGUAGUAAUUUUAUGACUUCUCUUUUUAUUCUUGCAAUCUUUGGUUUUUCUUGUUGUUGUCUUCCUUCUGUUUAACCGCCAACAAACUCGGGCAUUGUUGUUUUUCUUCAAAUUCAUUUGCUACACCAUAAUCCCAGCAUCUUGUAAUCGGGGAAAGGAUUAUUCCCUUCUAAACCAUUUCCAACCUGAAUCCAAACAAGUGAUAUGCACUAAUACGACUGAAAUGUUAUAAAUUAAUUAAUUUAACCAAACAAAAUCGUUUAAGUUGAACUUAUGUUAGAGUCAAUGUAGAUUUAUGCACAUUCCAUAAAGUUCAGAUAGUUUAUUUGAAUUAUAAUCAUAUUAGAGUCGUAUUUAGCACAAACAUUAAGCAGGAUGGAAGUUGUUCGGUCAAAAUAAAUAUUUUCACUCUUGUAAGUUUAUAGUUGUUCUGAGAAGGUGCUAAUGUUGAAAUGGCUUGUCACAAAGCAUAACCAAACAUCCAUUCCUCAGAGACUUCCUCUUCCCUCCAACCUUAAAUCAUAAUCAGAUUCUACUUCUCUUACCAUGUGUUUAAUUGAUAAGCUUCCACAUUCUCAAAUCUUUCUUUUUCUGGGCAACAAUUCUAUGUUUGAUAUUUCUGAUUGGAAGAGAUAAAAUUUAUAGAUUUCCUCAGGAGUAGAAUAAACCUCGUUUGCUCCUUUCAAGUCCUUUUGAUGCAUCUGAAAUCUUGAAAAGACAUUUGCAAGCAUCUUUGUUGUCUUCACAAUCUUUCUUUGCUCUCAGUAAUAUUAGGAAAGGAUCAACCAGCUCUUCUUUUUUCAUGUCCUUUUUUAUGUACCUGGAAAUCUUGAAAAGACAUUUUUCGAUCAUGUUGUAUGUUGGUGCUCUUGGCUAAGUUGUUUCAGAACAUCAAAGGAGGAGGAGAUCUUGGAUUGGAAAAGGCAAGAAAGAAGUUCAUCAAGCACCCUAAGCCUCAAGAUUCGUCAACAGGAGGGGAGAUUGUGAAGUUUGAAGCUGAUGACUGGGAGAUAUUGUUAAUGUCUGGGGAAGAGAGUGAGAGCAAAAAGAACUUGAUGGCACAAAACACUGAGUUUUAGUCUAACAUUUUUAAUAUCAAAUCUUUGAAACUUUGUGAAUCCCCUAUACAUUAUUUGAUAAGUGGUUUUGACAAGUGUCUUUUUUACAUUCAUUAUCACUAAAAAAUAAUGACAUGGAUUUCAAAAAAAGAUGGCAUGACAUCAAUUUAAUUAUAUGUAAAAUAUCCUUAUAAAACAUUAUAAUUUUUGGAAAGACUUUUUAAAUAUGGUAUUAGCUAAUAAAUUUUACAUAAAAUAAACUUUAUGUAUAAAUAUUAUUUUAGUAAGAAUUUUGGAAUAUAUUAGUAACUAAUAUAUCAUAUAUCUCCAUUACAAUAAUAUAUAUACAUAUAUAUAUAUAUAACAUUAAUAAACAAAUAAACUAAAUAUAAGUACAUUGUAAAAAAAUUCACGUUAACUUAUAUAUCCAUUUUUUAUAAAUAAAUAAAUAUAUAUAUAUACAUAUAUUAAAAUUAAUUGUAAAUGUGCUUUAAAAUACAAAACUAAAGCAAUAUUAAUCAAAUAAAAAUUUAUUGAUAAUUAAUGUUUAAAUUUUUUUUUAGCAUUUAUUGGUUUAUUUAGGGUUUCCCCAAAAAAAAGGAAAAGAAUGCACACAGAUCCGUUCCGUUGAAAAUAUGUCAGCACCCUUGAUAUUUUCCUUUUUUAAAAAACAAAAAAUUGAGAUCCAAGAGAGAUAUAAAAACAUGCCCUCAUAGAUAUCUCAGCAAGCUGCAGCCUAGCUCUCUCAUCCGUCCGUGGAGAAAAGCAUUCAAAGCAAGAUCUAACCCCUAGCUAGAAGGAAGGUCUCUCCAAUUCUCAUCGUCAUCUCCGCAGAACCAUGGGCGAAGACGAUACCAUCGGUUUUGAGUCCUGUAAGAUCUCUCUCCAUCUAAAAUUGUUUUGUUAGAUUUCAUCUGAUUCGAUUAUAGGGGAAGUAAUGGUUUAUUUUUUCUAAUUUUUUCGUAAAUUCGUUUGUGUGUAGUGAAGCAGACGCUCGUGUACUGGAACAUGGAUGACUACCCAAUCCCUGUAGAUACUACCGAUGAGCUUGAUCCUGUUUUUGGUGAUAUCUUAAAAGCUCUUGAUGUAAUGGGCUUUCGUAAUGGGCAUAUAGACGUGUAUCUGUAUUCUGAGCAAAUCAACAGGGAGGAGGCUGUAGUCGACUGGACUUUACCCGAAAGUAAAUUCCUCACUCUCCUUUGCUCGUCAUCGUUUCUAUUUUAAAUUAUAUAUAUAUAUAUAUUGUAAUCGGACUUGUUUCUCUGUUGUUGUUUGUAGGCGAAUCUUACGGCGCUUGUGUUUACAAAGUGCCGGAUAUCACUUUGUAUAUGAUUCGUCACGCAUCGUGUAUUGGACCAGGACCAGUGAAUUUUUUUGUAAUUGCAAAACCAAAAAGGGAGUUACAUAGGGUUCUGCACUGUUUGCAAUCAAGGCGUCACAAUGUUCUUCUAGUAAAGCCGCCGCCUCCUGAUGAAGAAUUUCUCUUUAGUGUAGCCUCUCUACUUGAGAAUGCUCGAUUUUUAGGUGGAGGAAAGCCUAGAUUCAAAGAAUUAUAUGCUUCUUAUGCGCUUGAGUAUGAUAUGUGCUUUGAAGAGUAUGUAGACAUCCCAGAAGAUCUCUCCAGGACGGUAGAUUUCUCCGGUAAGACCCCAAAUUGUUUCUAGAUUUUUCUAUUUUUGAAAAUUUAUUAUAAAUGGUAUUUUAUUUAACCUCUCUUUAUUGCAUGUAUGUAUGGCUCAGAGCGUAUCCCAACCGUCAGAGGGCCUAGGACAGCCGUCUUCUGGGACGCCGUGGAUUGCCCUUUCCCUCCUUCUUCCACCCCUGAUGAGAUCUACCACUCUAUCUCAUCAGCUCUUGUUGAAAGGUAUCUUAGUGAUAAUAUUACUAUCUGGGCCUAUCUUGAUGAUGAUGACAAGAAAGGGUCUGCCUUACUGGGUGGUGACAAGACGUGGGCUUCCAGAAUCUACUUUCUUCCCGGAGGUGUGAUCAUUUCCCCCUCUCUUUUUCUUCUCUCACUUGCAUUUGUUAAUAUUUAUUUAUUUGAUUUUUUUUUUUCCUUUUUCCAGGGGAUAAAGCCUCGAGACGUAUCAGAAUGUUAAAUGACAUGUUUUUAUUGGCAAGGGACUCUCCUCAGUGCAGUAAUUAUGAAGCUAGUUUGGUCCUGUUCGCAAAUCAGUUCAUAGGUGCCGGCUACUACAUCGAUAUGCUUCAAAGAUUGGAUGCCAUUCGUUACCAUAUUCUCUUAGUCACUCCGACUCUGGACAUCAACAAACCCGAAACCCCUCAAUGGCCCGGAUUGCUUUUAGAUAGAGGCGCAGCCAGUUUUGCUCUUGAAACUAGCAAAAUCUCUGAAGAACCUCCUAGCCCCAAAAAGCAUGAAGCCCUUGCCGCCGCUGAAGAAGAAGAAACACCUAAGAAGCUGGACACGCAUGGCAAACUUCUCUUGGAAACUGAGGACAUGAAGAAACAACAAAGCCAUGAAUGUCCAGGACGGCAAAUAGAUGGAGGAUCAGGCUGGGGAAGCUCUGAAGAACC